rnacentral:misc_RNA from 1 species
AAAAACUUUAACCUUUGAUACUUAUUAACUUCUAAAUUUCUUUGCAUUCUAGUUUCAUAUUGUUCUUGGUGUGAUAAUGUUUAUGAAAAGUAUUUGUCUUGGCAUGUGUUUGGACAAAUCUGUUAUUGGCUGCUGAUUAGAUAAGCUUUGAGUAGAAAUUCAUUUCUAUGUGAGAUUUUGAUAGCUGGCAUUCUCUUAUGAAAAAUUUGAAUCUACCAUAAGGUUUAAAAUGGGAUUAUUAGUCCAUUUGGCAGUCCAAAUCUUUUAACAGUCUCUUUGGAUGGGGUUGAAAGAUGGGUAAGUGAGGGUAAGUGAGGAAUGAGUAAGGCUAUAAGCUUGUCAAUUUAAGGUGAGGUGUAACUACGGGGAAGCUUUCCCCAUAAUGGCUUCAUAUUCUUAAACCUCGAAUUGAGGUGUAAGGAUGGAGAAGUAAAAGCUACAGUGUUUAAAAACUUUUGUUUUGUCAAUUUUAUCCUCAUCUAAAAAUUGGUAAUUCCAAACUGCCCUUACACAUAAAAUUCUAAAUUGUCUGCAAACUUAACAAAAUUUCUGUCUGGUCGU